GGAUGCGAUAAUACCAGCACUAACGCACUGGAUCCCAUCCGAACUCUGAAGUUUAGCGUGCUCGAGCGAGAGUAGUACUAGGAUGGGGGACCCCAGGGAAGUCCUUGUGUUGCAUCCC